UACGUAGGGGGCUAGCGUUGUCCGGAUUUAUUGGGCGUAAAGAGCUCGUAGGCGGCUUGUCGCGUCGAAUGUGAAAUCUCAGGGCUCAACUCUGACAUUGCAUUCGAUACGGGCAGGCUAGAGUUCGGUAGGGGAGACUGGAAUUCCUGGUGUAGCGGUGAAAUGCGCAGAUAUCAGGAGGAACACCGGUGGCGAAGGCGGGUCUCUGGGCCGAUAUUGACGCUGAGGAGCGAAAGCGUGGGGAGCGAACAGG
rnacentral:rRNA from 1 species